UACGUAGGGGGCAAGCGUUGUCCGGAAUUACUGGGCGUAAAGGGAGCGUAGGCGGUCUUUUAAGUUAGAUGUGAAAUACCCGGGCUUAACUUGGGAGGUGCAUCUAAAACUGGGAGACUUGAGUGCAGGAGAGGAAAGUGGAAUUCCUAGUGUAGCGGUGAAAUGCGUAGAUAUUAGGAGGAACACCAGUGGCGAAGGCGACUUUCUGGACUGUAACUGACGCUGAGGCUCGAAAGCGUGGGGAGCAAACAGGAUUAGAUACCCUGGUAGUCCACGCUGUAAACGAUGAAUACUAGGUGUAGGGGGUAUCAACUCCCUCUGUGCCGCAGCUAACGCAAUAAGUAUUCCGCCUGGGGAGUACGGCCGCAAGGUUGAA
rnacentral:rRNA from 1 species